UACGUAGGGUGCGAGCGUUGUCCGGAAUUAUUGGGCGUAAAGAGCUCGUAGGCGGUCUGUCGCGUCUGCUGUGAAAACUCAGGGCUCAACCCUGAGCUUGCAGUGGGUACGGGCAGACUAGAGUGCGGUAGGGGAGACUGGAAUUCCUGGUGUAGCGGUGAAAUGCGCAGAUAUCAGGAGGAACACCGGUGGCGAAGGCGGGUCUCUGGGCCGUAACUGACGCUGAGGAGCGAAAGCAUGGGGAGCGAACAGG
rnacentral:rRNA from 1 species